rnacentral:misc_RNA from 1 species
AACGCACAUUGCGCCCCUUGGUAUUCCGAGGGGCAUGCCUGUUCGAGCGUCAUUAUAACCUCUCAAGCCUGGCUUGGUGUUGGGGUCCGCGGUCUCGCGGCUCUUAAAAUUAGUGGCGGUGCCGUCUGGCUCUCAGCGUAGUAACUUUUCUCGCUACAGGGCUUGGUGGUUGCCUGUCAGAACCCCCCCCCACUUCUAUGGUUGACCUCGGAUCAGGUAGGGAUACCCGCUGAACUUAA